rnacentral:rRNA from 1 species
UACGAAGGGUGCAAGCGUUAAUCGGAAUUACUGGGCGUAAAGCGCGCGUAGGUGGUUCAGUAAGUUGGAAGUGAAAUCCCCGGGCUCAACCUGGGAACUGCUUUCAAAACUGCUGAGCUAGAGUACGGUAGAGGGUGGUGGAAUUUCCUGUGUAGCGGUGAAAUGCGUAGAUAUAGGAAGGAACACCAGUGGCGAAGGCGACCACCUGGACUGAUACUGACACUGAGGUGUGAAAGCGUGGGGAGCAAACAGG